rnacentral:rRNA from 1 species
CCUACGGGAGGCAGCAGUGGGGAAUUUUGCGCAAUGGACGAGAGUCUGACGCAGCAACGCCGCGUGGGUGAUGAAGGUCUUCGGACUGUAAAACCCUGUCGUCAGGGACGAAGGUAUGGGAGUUAAUAGCUCUUAUGCUUGACGGUACCUGGAGAGGAAGCCCCGGCUAACUCUGUGCCAGCAGCCGCGGUAAU